rnacentral:rRNA from 1 species
AUUGAACGCUGGCGGCAGGCCUAACACAUGCAAGUCGAACGAGUGGCGGACGGGUGAGUAAUGUCUGGGAAACUGCCCGAUGGCGGGGGAUAACUACUGGAAACGGUAGCUAAUACCGCAUACCAUCGGAUGUGCCCAGAUGGGAUUAGCUAGUAGGUGGGGGAACGGCUCCCCUGGGAGACGAUCCCUAGCUGGUCUGAGAGGAUGACAAGCCAAACGGGAACGGAGACACGGUCCAGACUCCUACGGGAGGCAGCAGGGGGGAAGAUUGCACAAUGGGCGCAAGCCUGAUGCAGCCAUGCCGCGUGGAGGAAGAAGGUCUUCGGGUUGUAAAGUACUUUCAGCGAGGAGGCGUUACUCGCAGAAGAAGCACCGGCUAACUCCGUGCCAGCAGCCGCGGUAAUUC